rnacentral:rRNA from 1 species
GAUGAACGCUGGCGGCGUGCCUAAUACAUGCAAGUCGAGCGAACAGACGAGGAGCUUGCUCCUUCGACGUUAGCGGCGGACGGGUGAGUAACACGUAGGUAACCUACCUAUAAGACUGGAUAACUUCGGGAAACCGGAGCUAAUACCGGAUAAUAUUUCGAACCGCAUGGUUCGAUAGUGAAAGAUGGCUUUGCUAUCACUUAUAGAUGGACCUGCGCCGUAUUAGCUAGUUGGUAAGGUAACGGCUUACCAAGGCAACGAUACGUAGCCGACCUGAGAGGGUGAUCGGCCACACUGGAACUGAGACACGGUCCAGACUCCUACGGGAGGCAGCAGUAGGGAAUCUUCCGCAAUGGGCGAAAGCCUGACGGAGCAACGCCGCGUGAGUGAUGAAGGUCUUCGGAUCGUAAAACUCUGUUAUUAGGGAAGAACAAACGUGUAAGUAACUGUGCACGUCUUGACGGUACCUAAUCAGAAAGCCACGGCUAACUACGUG